rnacentral:lncRNA from 1 species
GCACCUCUUCUUCGGAGCUCGUGGUCGGAAACUCCACCGAUGUAGCCACUUCCUCGCAUUUGCCAUCGGCUUACCUUCAAGAACUGGCCAGGACUCUGAACCGGGACGCGGUGAAGGUCGUUGUGGCUCGAGUGCGCGGAAGAGGCCAUUGAAGACCGUGGAAUUGCUCGCUAGAAUACGUUCUCCACCGUGGUGCUACUCAUCUCUAUGGGUUCGGGUCUACGCUACCUAGCGACCGGUGAGUCAAACUUCAUCAUACUUGUCAUGUCCUCCGCAUAGUUUAGCAACGUCGAGGCUAGAAUUGGGGCGUAGGAACCUUCGUGUCGUGGCACCGGUGAACCUCGUCGCCGUCGGCAGGGUCCUGCUGCUCGGUUCCUAUAGUGAGGCUGGAGAUGACAACCUGGCCGUCGGUCCCUGGAUGAACAACUUGGAUUAGAAUGGGGCCAUACCGGUUCGAUCAGGUAGAUCCAGACCGUCGAUAUCUGAUCGGGCGUGAUCAGGGUGAGGAGGGUUAUCUGGUUGUGGAUCUUGGAUCCUGCGAGUGAGAACGAAUGUGGGUUCAUCCAUGAUGAGAAUUAAUCGGUAUUGUUGAUCUCGGAUCGCACAGUUGUAGUCGCAUACCGAUUCGUUUAAAGCUUGUUCUAAUCUGGACCACUCAGAUCUAAUCAUGCGGCCAAGCAAAGACGAUACCCCUUUAGCCGGGUGUUUUCUUAAAGAGACCCUCGACUUUAAUCUAUUUAACCCACAGUCUAUCCUUAGUCAAAACUAAUUACAUACAGGUCCUAAACUUUAUAAGAAGCACCCUAUGCUUUUAGAUAAUAUGACCCGCAGCCCAGGGAGGAAAUAAAUUGGAUAAAUUAAUAUAGAAAAUGAUUUCUAGUAUAGAAAUAAUUCCAAAAUCUUGUUUAAAUCAUAACUAAUCCAUUUUAGCUCAUUUUUUAUCCGUUCUAGUUGGAUUAUGUUCGUACUGAUAUUAACUACAAUUUAGUAACCUUAUUUUGUUAUGCAACAUAUUGUCAAAAUUGAGCACUUAAUUUUUUCACCCAUGUUUAACUUAUCCAAGCACAUAAACUUCGGAAACUCAUAUCUCAUUCGUUAUAACUCCGAUUUUAGGGGUUCUCGAAACUAUGCUCUCGUAGCAUCACGUAGAAUAUUCUUACACUAUUUGUUCUCAUGUUUGGUGUACUAUUUUGUUUAUGUACUCCUUGUCUCUCUGUAUGUAUUGCUACAUCUAGCAGUGAGGUCACGAGUCACCUGAAGACCAAUUUGGUGAAUUACCUGGAAUCGCAAGUAUAAGGCAAGUUAUGCCCUUGAUCACUCUUCUUUACCUAAUAAUGUUCUCUAUUCAUCACUGUGACAUGCUAAGGAUAAAUUGAUGGGACCUAAUAGGUUUCCCUAGUUUUGUUUACCCCACACCUUGUAGACAAAUGAACUAUCGGGUAGACUUGCUAUUGCUCUACCUAGUUUUCGGAUUAAUGUUACAUUUGAAUUAUGAUCAUUUUCCAAUCUUGCUGUUUUUUUAAUCAUUGUUCAUGACAAGAUCAUUGUAUUAAUUGGAACAUGGAGCUUAACUUG